UGUGUAGGAUACGACCAGUCUGCUUAGGAAAGAAGAGUGGCAGUCCAGUGUCGUUCAGUUUCAGAAUACACAGCUCCGGGAUUAAACUACAUGAGCUGAAAGUUAGGGAACAAAGAAACACCAGCUAACAAAGUGUCAGCACAGAAAAGGGGCAAAAGCAUGCAAAUUAUAGGACAAGCAUUGUGUCACUUCUUGCUCCGGUGCACUGACUGAUUAUCAAGAACAGGUAAACUGGAC
rnacentral:lncRNA from 1 species